AUUGCUAAUUGUAUGGCCUGAUCAGAUAAUAUUAUAAUUGCAAUGUCAGUGGUCCCAAAAAGCUACAUAAGUACCACAAAUUUUAGAAUGUAUCUCAUCUCCAAUAUGGCUUAGUCCUUAAUCAGACUGAUAAUAACCUACCCCAUGCAGAAGUCAUGAAUAUGUGUACAAAUCAAGAUAUGCUUAUUCUCUUUAUUCCAGGUUCUUUGCAAGACCAAGCUUUCCCUUUGGAUGCAAGUUGCAUGGCAUAAUCCCAGAUGGACCAGCAUGGAUAUUUCCCUGGCAUAACUUGUUCUUUUACAUCUGUGGAGCAGCAGUGAGUUGAUUGUGUCUUCUUGAAGAUCAAGACUGGUGAGGAUGUUUGGAUAAUAAUCAAAAGACUAUGUUGGACACCAUAGUCUUGAAAAUAUUUAACAGCAUCCUCUCUGUGCUAAUAUGAACUUUGAAGAAAAUGAUGCAGUAGGAUACAGAAAAGCUUCAAAAUACAUUCAUGGGAAACAAUAAUGAUGUUUAUUGGAAUUAAUCACUGCUAAAUACCCUCUUAUAACAGGACAUUUGGAUGGUUCUAGCUAAUGCCAGAGAGGGGUAGAUUUUAUAAAAAGAUAAGAAAAGAUUAAGGAAAAUCAUGAAUAAGGAGAAGAAGAAGACUGGGACAUUUAUAAAUAAGGUACAGAAUCAGAGUAUGUAAGGCAUGAAUGGAGUCUUGGAGUGUAAUGGGAGGUAAUUUGCUACAUCUAGUUGCAUCCAAAUAUGGUGCUGAGACUUUCUUUUCCACCUUAGUAUUGAUAUGUCUGUUUAUCAAGGGCCCCAUUUUUUGCUUUCAGGUAUUUUCAACUAAUUUAGAUCCUUAAAAACAGUGGGUUCCCAAGAGAUUACAUGGGAUUUAGCCAAAUUUCAGAAUAUGGCCAAGUACUUUUACUAAAAUAACCAAAUGCUAGCAGUUGGCAACUUUGAUGAGCCCUAAUUCCCAGGGACCUAGAGAAUAUCUUCUAUGCCAGAUAAUAUAAAUUCUUAUUUGAUCAGCUGUGAUAUAUUCUGUAUGCAUUGGCUGCAUUUUUACAUGGCUUUCCAGAGCAAGCCAUAAUAAAGUCUUCAUCUGGAAGCUGAUUUUUUAAAUCCUUUUCUUGACUUUAGGCCAUUCCUCCUUCUCCUAAAUCACUAGUUCUCAAAGUGUCGUCUGUAGAUUAACAGUAUCAACAUUGGCUGGAAGCUAAUUAGAAAUGCAAAGUUUUGAGCCACACCUCAGAUCUACUUCAGAAACUCAGAGGCUGACUAAACUUUGCAUCUUGUUAAGUCUUCCAGGCAAUUUUAACACAUGCUAGUGUUUGAACACCACCUUCCUAAGGUUGUGCAUGAGCUCUGUCAGCCUGGGUAAGCCUCAUGCAUUGAGUUUUAUGGGAGAGCUAGAGCAGGUUUGUCAACCUCUCUCCUUUUUUCUCGAUUUGCUCCAUACUCAGUUCCACCAGGGCCUGCUCUUUGGAUGCUCAGGAGCACAUAUUGGAGGUCAAAACAACUGCCUUUCUCUUUAUCCUUUUGUUUUAACAACCUAAUUUUCCUUGAGGUGGUGUGGAGUCAUCUGACUGAGAAGGGGAGAGGGUUGGUAAAAAAGGAAGUAUAGAAAAGGGAAAAAAAAAUCUUUUUAGAUACACUCUUGCUACCUGGGAAGACAAUGUCAGACAAUUAUAUGAUCCACCUAAUUUAACGUCUUUUUUUAUUUUUAGCAGAUAUAUCACAUGGAGAAAAUAUACUUUUAUGUAAAUAAAAAUCAGUGAAAUAAAUUUUGCUUUGCUUUGUGCUUAGUGUAUGUGAUAUUAAUAACCAAUAAGUUAUUAGAGGUUCUUCUUUCUUUUAUUUUAAAUUACAUUCUUAAUCAAUGUAUUUUAAAUCAUCUCUCUUACUGCUUCCAUACCUCUAGAUUAUAUAAGAAUAGAAAAUAUGACUCUCAGAAUGAUCAGCCUGAG
rnacentral:lncRNA from 1 species